UACGUAGGGGGCAAGCGUUGUCCGGAUUUAUUGGGCGUAAAGAGCGUGUAGGCGGCUGGGUAGGUCCGUUGUGAAAACUCGAGGCUCAACCUCGAGACGUCGGUUGAAACCGCUUGGCUAGAGUCCGGAAGAGGAGAGUGGAAUUCCCGGUGUAGCGGUGAAAUGCGCAGAUAUCGGGAAGAACACCCGUGGCGAAGGCGGCUCUCUGGGACGGUACUGACGCUGAGACGCGAAAGCGUGGGGAGCGAACAGG
rnacentral:rRNA from 1 species